rnacentral:sRNA from 1 species
CCACCCGUUCACACGGGUGGUUUUGAUUUAAGUUGUAGUCUUAAUCUAGUUAGACAGCACUUUAUCGGUAAUAACUAUAUUAAACAGUAGUUAU